GACGAACGCUGGCGGCGUGCCUAAUACAUGCAAGUAGAACGCUGAAGGGAGGAGCUUGCUCUUCUUGGAUGAGUUGCGAACGGGUGAGUAACGCGUAGGUAACCUGCCUUGUAGCGGGGGAUAACUAUUGGAAACGAUAGCUAAUACCGCAUAACAAUGGAUGACACAUGUCAUUUAUUUGAAAGGGGCAAUUGAUGCACUACAAGAUGGAUCUGCGCUGUAUUAGCUAGUAGGUGAGGUAAUGGCUCACCUAGGCGACGAUACAUAGCCGACCUGAGAGGGUGAUCGGCCACACUGGGACUGAGACACGGCCCAGACUCCUACGGGAGGCAGCAGUAGGGAAUCUUCGGCAAUGGGGGCAACCCUGACCGAGCAACGCCGCGUGAGUGAAGAAGGUUUUCGGAUCGUAAAGCUCUGUUGUAAGUCAAGAACGGGUGUGAGAGUGGAAAGUUCACACUGUGACGGUAGCUUACCAGAAAGGGACGGCUAACUACGUG
rnacentral:rRNA from 1 species